rnacentral:rRNA from 1 species
UACAGAGGUCCCAAGCGUUGUUCGGAUUCACUGGGCGUAAAGGGUGCGUAGGUGGUGAGGGAAGUCGGAUGUGAAAUCUCCGAGCUCAACUCGGAAAUGGCAUUGGAAACUACCUUGCUCGAGGGUUGGAGGGGGGACUGGAAUACUUGGUGUAGCAGUGAAAUGCGUAGAUAUCAAGUGGAACACCAGUGGCGAAGGCGAGUCUCUGGACAUUUCCUGACGCUGAGGCACGAAAGCCAGGGGAGCAAACGGG